GAUGAACGCUGGCGGCGUGCCUAAUACAUGCAAGUCGAGCGAACAGACGAGGAGCUUGCUUCUCUGACGUUAGCGGCGGACGGGUGAGUAACACGUGGAUAACCUACCUAUAAGACUGGGAUAACUUCGGGAAACCGGAGCUAAUACCGGAUAAUAUAUUGAACCGCAUGGUUCAAUAGUGAAAGACGGUUUUGCUGUCACUUAUAGAUGGAUCCGCGCCGCAUUAGCUAGUUGGUAAGGUAACGGCUUACCAAGGCGACGAUGCGUAGCCGACCUGAGAGGGUGAUCGGCCACACUGGAACUGAGACACGGUCCAGACUCCUACGGGAGGUAGCAGUAGGGAAUCUUCCGCAAUGGGCGAAAGCCUGACGGAGCAACGCCGCGUGAGUGAUGAAGGUCUUCGGAUCGUAAAACUCUGUUAUUAGGGAAGAACAAAUGUGUAAGUAACUAUGCACGUCUUGACGGUACCUAAUCAGAAAGCCACGGCUAACUACGUG
rnacentral:rRNA from 1 species